rnacentral:misc_RNA from 1 species
UCCGAUUUGGCACCGGCGGUCUCCCAUGAGUCCCCGGCAUUACCCGCUGGCAACAUGGGACAGGGGUUGCGCUCGUUGCGCCACUUAAGGCAACACCUCACGGCACGAGCUGACGACAGCCAUGCAGCACCUGUGCGGGCCCCCGAAGGGGCACCGUGUUUCCACGGCGUCACCCCGCACGUCAAGCCCAGGUAAGGUGGGGAUGACGUAGUACACCUGAAC